CUAUCCACUGAGCCAAACCGGUUUCAGUGGGAGUUCCAUUUUUAAAUACACCUUACUUUUAUACAGGACUUUAUAGGCAAACAUGUUAAUUGAACCUCACAAUCAUUAUAAAAGCAGAAAUAAUUGGUAUUUUCUCUAUUUUACAAUGGCAAAGAAAAACUCAGAACUGAUAGGAAAAUGCCCAUCUUUAUAUAGACUUUUACACAGAAUUGAAAUGAUCUACCAAGCCUAGUGAUACCAAGUUCAAAAGUUUUACACCAUGUUUCAGGAUAAGCUAAAGUGCAAACAAAAGCAACCACACUCAAAGGUGCAUUGUUAAGCCUCUUAUGGAUUUUAUAUAUGCACAUUGGAUUUUCUCCUUAAAACAUAAAAAGCCUUCAAGGCAGUCUUCUGUAAUCAUGUGAUUUGAAAAAUUAUGACAGUCGUUACUGGGGCUUUACCUUGAGCAGCUUUAAUUAUUUUAAUAACCAUUCACAGUUCCUUCAUCAGAGAGAUUUUGGACCAAAGUAUAAUGAUUAUCAGACUGAUGGGGGAAAGCUCCCUUGUUAUACUUACCACCUAACGUUUAUUAUGUGCCGAGAGUGAUCAAUUUUUUACAUAUGCGUUAAUUGCAUUAAAGGACUGAACAGGAAAAGCUAUUUAACCUCAUCUUUAUUCACUUAUCCUUAAAGUAGUCCUGUCAUGCUUCUCCUCGAAAAGCAGGACGUAGUGGCUUGAACCUUGUAUGGAUCACCAUAGUUACUGGGCAUUCGUGACAUUUUAUUCCUUACUAUUUUUACUUUUACAUAUAAAUUCUUCAAACUUUCUUUCCUGUGUUUUAGUAUAUUGUUAUAAAAUGAAUGUCAUUAUUUUACAUCUUUUACUCUCCUUCUGGGACCUGUGUGCUGGAGUCAUUUCCGAGGGUGCUGUUCCUUCCUGUGGCAAUAGGAAGCUUCCAGCCUUGGGAGCCAGAGCGGGGCGUUCACAAGUAUUUCCUCAGCAGCAGUGGCUAACCAUUGCUUGCUUCUCUGGGGCAGCCGUGACCCACACCAGCACCCAACCGAGCGCCACUGCUCGCUGCUCACUGCACAUCCAGCAGAGGACCAGAGGGAAGGCAAGGAUUUAUUUCCAAAUGACCAAACUGAAAUAGCAUCCGUCUAAAGAGUCUAGGAGCAGAGGAUUGGGCCCUAGAACAUUGCUGUAAGAGAAAUCGGAGAACUCUAACCACCCCUUCACUGAGCAGUUCUGCUAUUUAUGGAUACAGUGGAAAGGAGGGGGAGAGACAAAGAGA